GACGAACGCUGGCGGCGUGCCUAACACAUGCGAGUCGAACGGAAAGGCCCUGCUUUUGUGGGGUGCUCGAGUGGCGAACGGGUGAGUAACACGUGAGUAACCUGCCCUUGACUUUGGGAUAACUUCAGGAAACUGGGGCUAAUACCGGAUAGGAGCUCCUGCUGCAUGGUGGGGGUUGGAAAGUUUCGGCGGUUGGGGAUGGACUCGCGGCUUAUCAGCUUGUUGGUGGGGUAGUGGCUUACCAAGGCUUUGACGGGUAGCCGGCCUGAGAGGGUGACCGGCCACAUUGGGACUGAGAUACGGCCCAGACUCCUACGGGAGGCAGCAGUGGGGAAUAUUGCACAAUGGGCGGAAGCCUGAUGCAGCAACGCCGCGUGCGGGAUGACGGCCUUCGGGUUGUAAACCGCUUUCGCCUGUGACGAAGCGUGAGUGACGGUAAUGGGUAAAGAAGCACCGGCUAACUACGU
rnacentral:rRNA from 1 species